AAGACUAUAGACCUGCGGAGUACCUGCGGAAGGAUCAUUCACAAUAAGUGUUUUAUGGCACUUUAAUUCCAUAUCCACCUUGUGUGCAACGUAGUUCGUUUUUCGAACAAAACAUCAACAUUUUAAUUAUCAACAGAUCGUCUGAAGUAUUAUAUGAAUAAAUCAAUUCAAAAUACAACUUUCAGCAACGGAUCUCU
rnacentral:misc_RNA from 1 species